GGUUGUUAGGACCUAGUCCUUAAUUGAGAUCCUUGUCAGAUAUUCCUGGCUAUAUGUUUUCCUUUUUGUCAUAUUAAGAAUUGUUUUAAUUUAAUAUGUUCGUACGGGAAACAAGGAACAUUAUUCUCAUACAAAAAAUUAAGAUAAUUCUAAAUACACAUUCAUAAAAAAAUGGAAUUUAUUACAAAGGAUAAUCAUAAGAUAUACUUGAAUUGUCCUGGACCUCACUUCUGUGAUGGGUAAAUAUUAAUGGAAUCCUUCUCUGAAUACGGGACAAACAUAUUAGUAGUGGUAGACCCCAAUGUCCAAUGAUCUUAAAUUUAUACCGAAUAUUGACUGUCAAAAAAAAAUGCUAACAUUCCAAUUUUCAAUAACAGUUAACAGCAAAUACAUUAUCACAAUAACAGAUAACAAAAAAACUAAUAGCCCAAUAACAGCUAACAAAUUAAGAAUAAGACAAUAACAGCUAACAGCAAAUAUAUUUUCAAAAUAACAGAUAACAAAGAAUUAAAUUGCCCCAUAACAGCAUAGCAGUUAAACCCCUUGCCCCCCCCCCCCCUCAUUUAAUAUCAUACUGAAUCAGUAAACUUAGUUGUGUCUGUCAUCAUGCAGUUAUUUGGAAACAUAUCUUGUGUUAAGAUCUCACCAUUAUAUCUCGAAAGUUGAAAAUCUAUACUACUAAAAUAAUGAGGUGCAAUUUGUUAGCCAGCAUGAUGUAAAAUCAGUGAAUCAAAGAAUUCAACUUUAUAUAUGACUAAUAUAGGACAAUGGCUUCGAUUAAAAAUUACACCACUCCGUCCCUUUUUUUUCCGAAGUUUUCUGUUGACCCCAGGUAUAUGGAAAAUUUAAGGGGGUUCAAUUUCAAUAUAACACCAGGUCAAAUCAGUUGCCAAGACCAAUAGUAUCUAACACAUGUAGUUUCCUGUUUAAGUUAGACCAGAUGCUCUGCAAGGGCGAAGCUUUAUAUGACCACAGAGGUCGAACCCUGAACGGUUGGGAUUAGUAUGGAC
rnacentral:lncRNA from 1 species